UGCAUCCACGUAGCUCAUUUGCUGCUUGGUAUGGCUACGUCCCUAGUUCUAUUUUUUAAUAAUCUAUAGAAAUUGAAAUGCUCUUAGAAUUUAGAUAUAUAAAACAUGCAUUCGUAUUGACUGGAAGAGGGUAAAAUACUCUUGGAUUGGAUCCAAGCCAUGUUUGGUCCCUUAUCUGCAUAUAUAACAUGCUGUUAAGUGCACUAUAAUAUAUGUUUGUAUAGGAGGAACGAGGAACUGAGGCAGCGUGGUAUCAAAAAUAACGGAAUGAAACUGUCGUUAUCGCUAUUGUAUUGAGUACUUGUAAUAGUACUCAAUUUCUGUUAUAAAAAUUCUGUUUUGUGUUAUUUUCUCAGCUCUCUUUGUGUUGAUAAGAAGACUGAAAGUUAGCAAAAUGCUGUGUAAAUGAUAAUGACUAAAUAUAAAAUUCUCAGAACAGAAAUCAGUCUUAGUUUAGCACUGUACACCAAACGAUUGCUGUCCGGAGGCACUAGGAGGAGUUUAAACUUGAACAUGGUUAUUCUCGAAAUUAGACACCAAUCUUUUAGUGUACCUUUAACUCCUUGCCGAGCUUUAUUGACUACCGAAAAGAGCUGUGGCGCUAUGAAAUCAGAACAAGUUCAUUAAAUGUUUAAAUUCCAACGGCUUUAUAGUAUCUCUAUAACAAUGCCAUUGUUAUUAUUGAUAUAUAUCCUUAGAAAACAUUGUGUUUUGAACAUAAUUAUCGUUCGUUAAAAAACUAUUUGUCAUCUUUAUAAUUAAAUAAAAAUACUUUCUAUACAUUUACAAACUUAUAAAAUUCUCUAAGUUCUUUCUGGCGUCCACAUAUAUCGUUGAAGGCCCAUCGUCAAGAGAAACUUAGCGGUGAAUAUCAUUUGCGGUCGUCGAUUGGAGCAGCGCGAUGUUCAAUCCUAAAAUAUGAACUUAAUUUAUAUUUUGAGUAGGAAAUACUUCUCCUUUAUUUUAUUAUUCAUAACAGCUCCUCAUUCUUCCAGAAGUGAAUGGUCCGAUAUUUGAAAGUGAAGGAUAAACGGGUGAUGAUUAUUAUAAGAAACAAAUUGUGUUUGGAGUCGCCUCCAAUAAAUUAAUAUUUUUACUUUUCUUUUAAAACUUCACUUCUAAGUGGAAUUGACACAUCAUGCUCAACUAAUUUAGAGUCAUCUCUGAACGGCUACUAAACCUUAUGAAAAGUCGGUGGGUUGUCAUUGCACCUUUAAGUGUUUCACCACCGCAGCCAAUAAACGUGAGUAUUACAACUGUAAUGUUGCACUCAAUCAAUAAUUAAUGUUUGGAUUCUUAAAGAUUUUACUCUUUCCAAGCUACCCUCUAAAUUAUACAGCAAUCGUUUAACUCUCUAUGCAAUGUUUGGUUCAUUCCUUUCUUAAAUAUCCAUAAAUUUUUCUAAAAACUCCCGAUAUGGUAUGCGAGCUUUAUUCACUACCGAAAAAAGUUAUGGCUAGGAAAUGGUUGGUUUUUUUAAUGUUUUUAUUCCGAAGGCCCAAUGAUCUCGUUAGUUAAAUAAUUUUAGACAUCCUUAUAUUUAAAAGCAUAUACAAUUUUCUAUAUUUUUCCCGACGUCCACGUAUAUUGUUAAUGACCCAUCAUCAGCGCGCUGGUAAGUCACAAAAAAUGAACUUAUUUUGCAUUUUACAAGUUGAAGUAAAUUGCCUGUGAAUAAGAAAACAUGUUGUAAUAAUGAGAUGCUCUUUUUAUUCAUUUUAUUUUUGAAAUGCCAGAUCAUUCUUCCAGAAGUGAAUGGUUCGACAUUUCAAAGUCAACUAUAAAACUUGAUGAUUAUUAUAAGAAACCAAUUUAAGUUGCUCCAUUUGAAAUUAGCUAAUCAAUGUUAUAAGUUUAAAGUAAACUAUUAUUUAGCCUUGAUUCCACAUUUCUUCCGUUGCUUUGACUUCUGCAGACAUUCUGAAAAUUUAGUUAAAUCAUAUUUGAGAAGUUAUUACUUACCAAAUUAAAAGCGUAUCGUUUAGUGUACUCUUUAACACUUUUUCACAUGCUUGGUUCAUUCCUUUCUUAAGUAUCUACAAAGUUUUCUGAAAACUCGUCCUAUGAUUGGUUCAUUAACGAUCAAUUAUAAUGAGUAAAAUAUAAUGAACACAAUUCAAUUGUGAGUAUUAUACGGUGGUUAUUUCGAAAUACUUUCCAUAAGUUUAGAAGCACUUAUAAAAUUGUCUACCUGAAUCCCGUCGUCCACAUAUAUAGUUAAUGAUACAUUUGCGCCCCUAAACUGUAUAAAACAGUGAGAAACUAAGUGCAAAAAAAUAAUGGAGCGUCAUCUUUUGAGCACUCCUCUUCUCUUUAUUUACUCAAUUACCUACGAUUUACUCAAAAUUACUCAUUACUCAUGGCUUAAAGUUGUGUAAGUAAUCCCAAUACCAUUGUAGUGCAAAAACGGUAAGAAUACUUACUAAAAUUGUUUCAAUUUAUAAUUAAUUAAUUUGUCAGAUAUGCAUUUUCCAGGGAUAUCAAAUAUAAAACUACAUUUCAAAAUAUAAAUACUACAUGGACACUUUUGAAAAUAAAUAAACAUGUAAUCCAAAAUUCUGAUAACACCACUGUUAUAUAAUUUAAAAAUCAAAACUAAAACCACUUCCAUCUUCCAUAUUUGCACUCAAUGCCGGUAAAUGAUUUGAAAGACAAAAUCCCAGGACGUGGCAAAAUCGUUUACAGCUUUUUAUUUUAAUGUAUUUCAACUUAAAAAUUUAAAAGCAAAAUAUUUACUAUUUACAAAUUUCAUAAUUCCUCAACUUUGGAAGGUCUUCUUUUCCCUAUAAUUAAAACCACAACCGAUCGAUAAUAUCAUUACUUUCUUGUAAUUGUAAUUAAAAAAGAAGCCAAAAUAUCCAAUAAUAAAUCUAACCACCUACAUUUUGUAAUUAAAUUAUAAUAACAUAAAGUUUAUAAUGAAAAUCGGUAAUAUAAAAAAAUGCUUAAAAUACUAGGUUUAAUAUUUAAUCAUAAGCAUCCGUGUUGAUCACUUCAAAGUAGAUUAAAUAUAAUUAAGUUUCUAAGUAAUAUAAAAUUAGAUUGUAAUUUUAACACACUUAUCCAUACAUUAUAUGUAGUAAAAUCAAUAAACUCGUUAAAAAUUGUUUAUGGUAAUCCAAUAUUCAGCAAAACCACCAAAAGAAAUUGUGCAAAAGUUGCGUCAACAUACCACACAGCAACUAUCUUGCUUUUGGGGCUUUACGUACUUCCCCAAUGUGUAACAUAAGCCGAAGCGGUGUUACAUACCUUGCACCAAGAAAUAGGUUUUACAAAAAAAGCGGCAUUAGAGAUGUCACCUAUUCCUACCAUUACUACUGAAACACUUUAAAGAGUGGACGUGGAGUAUUUACCUGAUGUUUACAUAAAAAAUUAAGUACACACACUAUUUGGAUAACUCUAGCUAGAUGGCUCAAAGUAAACUAUAAUGUCCACGUUACUACCAUCAUUCGUGUCAGGCUUUACAGCAGAAGUAACAGCCAUUCUUCAUUUGACGAAAAAUAAAGAUUAUUUUCUUAUCCGGUCACAUAUUUAAGAAUGCACAUAGCAGCCCAACUGGCCACUAGAGCUCUCGGCACUACUUCAAUAGCAGACAUUUUAGCUGACCUUGGAAUACUGCUUAUUCUACAUCAAAAAAGGCAUGAUUACUAAGCAGACCUAUGGAGAAGGUUCAUCUGUCACACCAUCUGUUGUUUACUUAAAAUUUGUAUUCAAAGUAAUCGUUUAAUACUUUGUUUUCAGCGUAAAAAAGCCUCAGUUUUACGGCGGAGGCGCACCCAUUCUUCUCUCUUGAAUAAUAGCAAGUAAAAGUGGCUACAAAAUAUUAUCUUCAAUGAUUUCGUAUUACCAUUUAAAGCAAUUAUAAAUGUCAAUUCUGCUAACUCAGCGAUUUGCCAAAUCAGAGAUAUCCUCAUCGCCCAUGUGGAGAGUUAAAGCUUCCGUGAAUACCAAGCCACAUCGGUUUAAAAGGAACGAAACAAAAUUGGUAACUAGAUUUCCCUUAUAACUCAUAAAUUAUUUUGGUAUUAAAAGGGCAUUAAAAAGUUAGCCACGUGAAACAGAAAAUAUAUGAUGGAUCAAAGUCUAGCACUACUACAAAAUGAUAAACCAAACAGAAUACGAAGGUAUCGUAUUUGUAUAACUAUUACCAGGAAGCAGAGUUUGGUUGCACUAGAAUAACCCAUAAACACAUAUUGGAAAACAGCCAGCUGGCCAUAUUGCAACACAGAGAAUCUGACAAUCAAUGUCUAAUUAGUAGAGCAGAACCGCCUAGAAUUAAGCAACUCAGACUUAAGGGAUAUUUUAUCUAAUGUAACAAACGCCAAAAUUACAAAAUGUCCCUGUAAACUUAAAAUAUAUUUUGAAGUGUGGUACUUUUAGAGAAUUAA